AAUCUAUGUCGAGCAAGACAGUUAUAAUCAUAGUACCCUUAUUCUUCUCAUUUUUGUUGUAUUGACAAUAUCGGCAUGGAUUCCCAUCUUCGUGCUCGGACAAAACUGGCUGCACUUUCUGGUGACUCCCUCUGUGUAAGAAAUCUAUCUCGAGCAAGACAGUUCUAGCCAUAGUACAGAAACCGUCUACCCUUAUUCUUUCUAGUUUUUUUGUAUUAAAAUUAUCGGCAUGGAUUUGCACGUCGCUCGCAAGAAUCUUUAACGCAACAGAGAACCUCAUGUCUUGGUAUUACUCAUCUCCUUUUUUCAAUUUUCAGUGAUGAAGGUGGAGCUGCUUGAACUUGCGAGCUGUUCUUCUUUGAUGCGUGCCUCCUAUGAGGGGGACUCCAACUGCCUCUUCCUUGCUUUCGGUGAAGUCCUUGCCGUCCUUGAAGAUGAGAAACUCCAUCGUGUCGAUGUGGAAGAAUAUGAAACACCCGCAUAAGUGAGUGAUGCACGACCCGAAGUCCUUCCCGACCACGCAGUGCCAUGACGGCCCGUAUGCUUCAUCAAAUUUCUGUUGUCAUUUAUGAUGAGUUAGCACUCUCUCCUCGGAACUAGCUUCGGUUUCAAGUCAGCAAGGCAGUGUUCAUCAUGUAAGAUUGCAAAUAAAACAUGAAUAUCAA